UACAUUUUAUUUAUCAGAACUUUAAUAUAUUUUGAUGUUCCUCUGACGUUUCUUUUUAAAAUGCAUUAUCAUAUUAUUUUAGUUAAAACUCAUAAAUAACUACAAAUAACUAAUGUUAGGGAAAUCUGUUAAUGUUUUGUUGCGCGUUUCAAAAAAAAAAAAAAAAAAAAAAAAAAAAAGAAGAAAUAUCUGCCGAUAUAUCGGAAUAUCGGAUUUUAAAACCAACAAAUAUUUGUAUCGGUAUCGGCCUUCAAAAUCCUUUAUCGGUCGGGCUCUACUGCUUACUG